ensembl:lncRNA
CAGCCCUCAAGCUCAUGACUAGGGCAAAAGGAAGAGAUGGGUAAAGGCAAGAACGGGUUCUGAGUGCAACCAGUUAAUACAACAGUACACACUAUGCCCAGAUGUUUGAAACAAAGCCUGUUCACAUUCUAGUACCCAAAGGACAAGAGAAUGUUUAACAUGGCUCAGUUUGCCUCAAACACAAUGACAAAGAAUGAGAGAAACGGACACCAGGUGCUGGGGUUGCAGGUGGGUGACACUGUAUUUGGCUGUUCACUAAUUUCCACUCACUGCCCUGCCAACAAAACCUCUUCUGGUGAGAACAUGCGGAGUGUGGCUUUACUUCCAGGAUGCAGGAAGAAACACAUCCACCAGGAACUCAGAAUUGACAUCAUCUCAAGAAAUGAUGGUGCCAGGUGGUGGCUGCCUGUGAUUAUCUUUUCAGACAAUCAUUACUUUGUGCAAGUUGCAGUUGGCAAUGCUGCGCGUUCGCCACAGGCUUUGGAUGGCCUUCCCAUCAUCUGCCCUGACGACAUCUACAGCACACAUCCACCCACAGUGUGGUCCUGCCUUUCAUCCUGAAGCCUUUCCACCUGAGAGCUUUUCGAAGUACUGUGUCCCAUGCUGUCACUUAGAAAGAACAUUUGCCAUCUCUUAAAACUCACUCAGAUGCCUGCCUAUUCCCUAUUCAGGCUCUACUCCCAUGUUACAUGUUUACACCGCUUAGGAUGUUCCCGGGCACUUUAAAGGCCAGAAAACAUACUUCCACCUGGAUUAGGUGCCAAUGGGAAUCCUGAUCUGCAUCAGUUGGUAAUGCGUCUCAUUUGUCCGGUGGCUCAGCUCUCCAUAGACAACUUUCUGAAGUUCACAGACAGAAAGCAGCUGUAGUAGAAUGCUGACCUCAUACUCUUAUGAACAGUGUCCAAGAACAUGGGACUAAAGUUUCUCCUCUCCAUACUGAGGAUGGAAUGCUAGGCAAAUGUCUACCACCGAGCUACAUACCUACUCCUCAAGGCCAGCAAACCUUAAGGCUCUCUUCAAGGCUUAUCAUAAGACCUUGUCUGGCUUCCCUCUGGACCUUGUUGGGCUGAGUUUAUUCAUUGCACAUCUGUAUUUGUGACUUGGGAGUUGUAAAGCAACUCACAAUUCCAGGACAGAGUACAUGGUGUUGGUGAAGUCAUGGAGACGGGUGCUUGAGGCCAUGGGUCACAUUGCAUUCAGAGUGGGAAGCAGGAGGUGGAGGAUGCUGGUGUUCAACUUCUCCUCUCAUUUCCAUUCAGUCUGGACCUGAAUGAACGUGAGUGGGAUGGUGCCACGCAAGGGGCAGGUCCUCCCAGCUCAGCUGGCCCCUCACAGACAUCUCCACAGGUGCACCUUUUAGGUAACUAGUUGAAGGGUUAGUCCAAUCACUAUCACAAUACCCUUAACCCACCUUUGUCUCAAGAAUUGAAUACUCUGUUGAAGUAUGGUUGUCCAAGGUCUGGCUCUCUCUUUCUCCUCUCCUCUCCUCUCCUCUCCUCUCCUCUCCUCUCCUCUCCUCUCCUCUCCUCUCCUCUCCUCUCCUCUGUCUCCCUUCCAUCCCUUUC